GGCCAAUGAUACAUUUUGGCAUAUAGUAUCUGAAUUUACUGCUGAACUCUACUGACACUUCAGCUCUAGAAUUCUGCUGGAACACUGCUAG